rnacentral:tRNA from 1 species
UCCGGGGUGGUGUAAGUGGCAGCACAGCAGACUUUGGAUCUGUUAGUUCAGGUUCGAGUCCUGGCCCCGGAG